rnacentral:rRNA from 1 species
GCCGCGGUACCCUAACCGUGCAAAGGUAGCGUAAUCAUUUGUCUACUAAUUAUAGACCUGUAUGAAAGGCAAAAUGAGGGUCUAACUGUCUCUUAUAAUAAAUCAAUUAAACUGAUCUCCUAGUAAAAAAGCUAGAAUUACAACAUAAGACCAGAAGACCCUGUGAAGCUUGAACUAAACUAUUAAACUUUCGGUUGGGGCGACCUUGGAAAAAAAAAGAACUUCCAAAUACAAUGAAAUUAGGCCAACAAGCCAAUAAAUGACCCAGCAUGCUGAUAAUUGAACCAAGUUACUCCAGGGAUAACAGCGCAAUCUUCUUCAAGAGCCCAUAUCAAAAAGAAGGUUUACGACCUCGAUGUUGGAUCAGGACAUCCUAAUGGUGCAGCCGCUAUUAAGGGUUCGUUUGUUCAACGAUUAA